rnacentral:rRNA from 1 species
UACGGAGGGUGCAAGCGUUGCUCGGAAUCAUUGGGCGUAAAGCGUACGCAGGCUGUUCGUUAAGUCGGGUGUGAAAGCCCGGGGCUCAACCCCGGAACUGCGCCCGAAACUGGCGAGCUUGAGUGCGGGAGAGGGAAGCGGAAUUCCUGGUGUAGAGGUGAAAUUCGUAGAUAUCAGGAGGAACACCGGUGGCGAAAGCGGCUUCCUGGCCCGACACUGACGCUCAUGUACGAAAGCGUGGGGAGCAAACAGGAUUAGAAACCCCCGUAGUCC